rnacentral:lncRNA from 1 species
AUGUCCGUGUGAGGGUUCAAGGCCAAGCUGAAGUUGUUGGCCUCUAUCUUCCACAAGAACCAGGAGCCGCCGCCGCAGCUCACGCUCCACUGCAACAUCACGGAAUCCUAUUCAUCUUCUUCACCGAUAUGGUCUGUGGACUCUGAUGAGCCAAAUCUGACAUCAGUUCUGGAACGUCUAGAAGAUACUAAGGAGAACAGUUCGCUUCCUUCUUUGGUUAGAACCACCCGGAGGUGACUGUGGCCA